rnacentral:rRNA from 1 species
UACGUAGGACCCAAGCGUUAUCCGGAAUUACUGGGCGUAAAGAGUUGCGUAGGUGGCAGAGUAAGUCUCGAUAUAAAGACGACGGCUUAACCGUCGGAAUUAUCGGGAAACUGCUCAGCUAGAGGACAAGAGAGGUAGAUGGAAUUCCCAGUGUAGGAGUGAAAUCCGUAGAUAUUGGGAGGAACACCGAUGGCGUAGGCAGUCUACUGGCUUGUUCCUGACACUAAGGCACGAAAGCGUGGGGAGCGAACGGG